GCUUGUAUUUUUCAUGACCUCAAAAGCACCAUAUCCCAUCUGAUCUUGGACUCUAAGCAGGGCAAGCCCUGGUUGAUACUCAGAUGGGAUACCUGCCAACAAAUACUAGGUGAUUUAGGCU
rnacentral:rRNA from 11 species